AGUGGGGAAUGCUGGGAAGCAACUGGGAGGGCAGAGAAGGGAACGGCUCGACCAAGGUGGCUCCCGCCUCGUGUUUUCACUGCAGACGUCUGUCUCAGCUGGUGGUUGGUUUCUUUGAAAGCUCUUCUCAAACUGCUGUGAGCAGCCAGCAAGGAGGUUUCACCUCAUUAAGGUGCUUCUGCAAUUCCCAGCUAAGUUAUGCUGCUGAGAGACCAAAGUUCCUUGAAGUGAGGGGCUGCUUCCAGAGACUGGUGAGUGAAGGGUGCAGCUGUGGGAUUCCUGCCUGACAGAAAUCAGAAUGGCUGGAUGGGAUCAAGACACAGGCCCACCCAGACUCAUAUUUUGUCUCCAAUGAUCUGCAGCAGUUACCAAAGAACAGGGCAGACAGAUGUGGAUGUGGCAGGUGGUUCGGGCAAUUCUUUAGCCACAAGCAAUUGCUGAGAGCAGCAGAACUGCAGUUGCACAUGAGCAGAGAUUAUCUGCCAGAAGAUCCCUCCCAUGGUGAGAAGCAAGGGACCUGUGUAUAAACAGAAAGAAUUUAUGGACAGUUAGAAAAUCCUCAUUAUUUAUCAUUUCCACGAUUGAAUUGAAACCAAAGGCCUGCGAGCAUCUUUGUUUCAAAGCUUGCCUAGAUCCCUCCUACAUUCUUCAGAAGGUUUGAGCAAAGAACACAUCAAAAGGUGUAGGCAUGUCUCCCACCACCUAAAUCCCAGCAGCCAGGUUACCUGAAGUCAAUUUUCUUUCACUGUGCCUUCAGGUGUUCCCACUGUACCCCCAAAGUACACAGCAAAACAGCCCUUGAGUAAACAGGCAAAAUCAGCCCCCCCCAUCCUGCUCCCUGAAACACUCUGUGCUCACAAUAACCCCCCUGCUUUGAUCCCUUGCCAAGAAUAACACAGACAGUCUAUUAAAACAUCUUUAAUGACAUGAUAUAAUUAAAAAUAUCUAACGUGCAACUCAAAGG